UUAAGGUUUCAUGUGUGCAGAACCGUAAGGCAAGAAAUCCUUUAAACAUCCUCCCCCCAAAAAACUAUGAGGGUGCCUCAAUUCUAAUCCUGAUCUUCCCUAGAUAAUUAAAAGUACAAUAACUGAAUUAUCUCUUCAUUCUUCCAAGUUUUGAGAUCAGAAGUGAGAAGGAAGACAAUAGAGAAGACAACGUUUUUUUCCCCAAGGCGAAUGGGUGAGAUAUAUUGAGAUAAGGAGAUAAGCUUGGUAAGUAUUUCCAUAAUUUAACUUUGCAAAAGACUUGGCUAAGAAAAGUUUUGCAAAGGAACCACAGCCCACCAUGAUAAGGAAGCCUCAGAAGCAACCACAGAGGCUCCUUCUGAGGUCCUGCACCUGCUUGGAAGGGGCUGCGCACUGAACUCCGAGCACAGCAGCUGGCACAGAACAGGUGCCCAGUGGAUGUUGAGCAGUGAGGGCUGCUGUUGCCACCUUGCUCACUAGUGCUAAUUCUGCCUACUGCGCAGGCUUAGAAAUGGCCCGGGACAGAGGAGGAAAACCUGGGAAACUGGUUGUAUUUUUGAGUUAGGACAGGAUGUUGAGUCCCCGUCACUCCGCCGGCGGCUGAGACCUCAGGUGCAUUUUUAGCUUUUAUACAGUACGAUCAAGGAAAAGACUGAAAUCGGUCAUGAAAUAAUCUCUCUGGAACAUCAGCUGGGAAACUCCUCCCUUGAAGAGGACAGCUGAAGGUCAUCUGCAAGCCAGGAGGGGUCCCAUGUGGAGCUGUACAUGUGUCCUGAGUGUGGACGGAGUGAUACUCAGAGGUCGCAGGUUAAUGAAUUCUAAGAAGAUGCCUGGGGGCAGGAAGAGAGGACGUCAUGCCCAGGGACUCCAAGUGAGGGUUUGUUCAAGAUGUUCCAUGCUCCCAAGUGAGCUUCAGCCUGGAAUGAUCAGAAGUUAGUCCUCCAAAUGGAUUGUGUGAAUGGUGCUUUUGGGGAGGUAUGGGGCAUGCUUUCACCUCUUAAUAGUUACUGAAGUCAACUGCUGUUUCUGAUAAAGCUUAUGUUAAACA